rnacentral:rRNA from 1 species
CCUACGGGUGGCUGCAGUGAGGAAUAUUGGUCAAUGGACGAGAGUCUGAACCAGCCAAGUAGCGUGAAGGAUGACUGCCCUAUGGGUUGUAAACUUCUUUUAUAUGGGAAUAAAACGUUCCACGUGUGGGAUUUUGUAUGUACCAUAUGAAUAAGGAUCGGCUAACUCCGUGCCAGCAGCCGCGGUAAUACGGAGGAUCCGAGCGUUAUCCGGAUUUAUUGGGUUUAAAGGGAGCGUAGGUGGAUUGUUAAGUCAGUUGUGAAAGUUUGCGGCUCAACCGUAAAAUUGCAGUUGAAACUGGCAGUCUUGAGUACAGUAGAGGUGGGCGGAAGUCGUGGUGUAGCGGUGAAAUGCUUAGAGAUCACGAAGAACUCCGAUUGCGAAGGCAGUUCACUGGACUGCAACUGACACUGAGGCUCGAAAGUGUGGGUAUCAAACAGGAUUAGAUACCCCAGUAGUC